rnacentral:miRNA from 1 species
AAGCGAUCUUCUAGAUGGUUGUA